rnacentral:tRNA from 1 species
GCUCCGGUGGUGUAGUCCGGCCAAUCAUCUCGGAUUUUCGAGUCUUGUUCGAAGAUCUAUUUUGAUGUUACGGACAUUCAAAAAAAUCCGAUGACCCGGGUUCAAAUCCCGGCCGGAGCA